AGCGAACGCUGGCGGCAGGCCUAACACAUGCAAGUCGAGCGCCGUAGCAAUACGGAGCGGCAGACGGGAGAGUAACACGUGGGAACGUGCCCUUUGGUUCGGAACAACCCAGGGAAACUUGGGCUAAUACCGGAUAAGCCCUUACGGGGAAAGAUUUAUCGCCGAAGGAUCGGCCCGCGUCUGAUUAGCUAGUUGGUGGGGUAAUGGCCCACCAAGGCGACGAUCAGUAGCUGGUCUGAGAGGAUGAUUAGCCUCACUGGGACAGAGACACGGCCCAGACUCCUACGGGAGGCAGCAGUGGGGAAUAUUGGUCAAUGGGCGCAAGCCUGAUCCAGCCAUGCCGCGUGGGUGAUGAAGGCCCUAGGGUUGUAAAGCCCUUUCGGCGGGGAAGAUAAUGACGGUACCCGCAGAAGAAGCCCCGGCUAACUUCGUGCCAGCCGCCGCAGUAA
rnacentral:rRNA from 1 species